GGCCACAGCAACUCAGAACCAAGCCGCAUCUGAGACCUAUACCACAGCUCAUGGCAACGUCAGAUCCUUAACCUGCUAACUUUGGGAUUCUUCAAGGAAACCAGGAAGCUUCUCAGAUACUAAAUUAACUAGGAUUAUUAAUAUGUUAAAUUACAUGGAGAGCAUUAUCAGAAGAACAAUAAACCCACUUAGGUUACACUGUGGGUAAAUGUUAGUAUAGACAUUCUAGAAAUUAUAUGAAAUUUCUAAAAUUUGGAUAUAUCCUGGUAUAUAAGAUUAUCAGUCAUAAUUCUUGUUGUAACCAACUUUUUUAAUCAAUUACAUUUUAAUCAGAUGUUUAACCAUACCUUUUAAUUUUUUCUGUCAUUGCUGUAUUCUGAUGCUUUUGCAAAAUUGCUUCGUCUUCAGGGAUAGUCAUAGGAAAGCUAUGGAAAUUGUCACAACAGUUCCACAUCAAGAUAAUGGCUACCUGAGGAACCAGUCCAUCCAACUUAAAACAAGAAGCUGUACUGUCUCUGGGGUGCUUAGAUCAGGUAUCCGGAGGUUUUUACUCCCUGACAGAUAGGGUUGAUGUCCCUAUUCAAACUUGAAGCAGUUUAAGAAAAAGAUAUACCAUCUGCCCUCUGCUUCCUGUAAGAAUAUGGGAAUAAAAUAUCUGAGGGGGGAAUGCAAUAGGAAGGAAGGGGGCAGGGCCCAACCUUUAAAAAGAAUAACAUAGUCCUUGAGGAAUAUGACAAAAACUGGUUAGAACCAACUAGGUGCCAAGAUGGCAGAUGAUUUGACUUCUAGUAUAUCUUGAGCCUUAUUAUAUGCUCAUUGCAAUGCAUUAGCAUGCUAAAUGGCACACCAUGACAGCUCUGAGUAUAAAUAUUUUUUAAAUAGACAUUAUAGAAAUAAAUAAGUUUUCUGAAAUUUGGGUAUGCCCUGGUAUUAUUUUAUAAUUUUAGUUAUCUUAAAACUUUGUAUGUCACAGCAACUUGGUUAAGCUUCUUCAUCAAGAGCAUUGUAAUCAGAUCUUUAACCUUGCCUUUUAAAGACUUUUUGUCACUCAUAGACAGUUAAAACCAAUACUUGCAAAAGUGCUUCAUCUUCAAGAAAGUUCACAAGUACAGGUCUUUGUUAUAGUUCAGACAAUACCAUUGAACUGGGUUAAAUAUGUAUGUAAAAGAUACUGAUGGUUUCAAAAAGCAGAUAACAAAGGAUUACUGAGUGAACUGGUGAAUGUGGAUAUAAAUGUUUAUGGUUUAUUUUGAAUGGAGUAUUACUGGUUUUGAUAUGUGUUUUCCAGACAUAGAGAAGCCCUUCUCCUCAAGAUACUUAUGACUUAAGAGUGAUUGAACAAAUUACUCUUCUGUGGAUAAAAUUGAAAUAUUUUUCUUCUCUCUUCCUGUUUCCCCCAGAAAUUAGAGACUCUUGGGUUCUGAGCAGGCUUUUCAGGUGAAUAGGAAAGACUGCUUCCCGGCAUGUGUAGGAUUCUUGAUAUUUUGGGAACUUCUAGAAAAGAAUUCAGUCUGAGACUCCUGAGGAAUUACACCAGAUCGGUGUAACAGGCCUAUGUAGUCAAUGGAGCAGACUUGUUUUGGAAACAAAUUAGACUUGUUUGUCUGUGUUCAAUGGAGAUGAGGGUAAUUUUAGAGAAAAACAUUAUGCUUCAAUAGAUAUGAAAUUCUAGUUAUGUUCAUUGAAGUCUGUAUCUAUGAAAGUUAUUGUGUUAGCCACAAUUUUGGCCUGAUAUUCAGGAUGAAAAGAAAAUUAUGAAAAGUAGAAUUAUCUUGUGGAAUUAUCUCAGAAUAACUACUCAUGACAUAUCACCAACUGCUUUGGGUCCACUGCUAAAAGCACAUGUACAAUGUUUGUGUGACAAGUGGGUAUAAGUGAUAAAAUGUAUGGCCUAUAAAGUGUUUCUU
rnacentral:lncRNA from 1 species